GACGAACGCUGGCGGCGUGCUUAACACAUGCAAGUCGAACGGAAAGGCCCUGCUUUUGUGGGGUGCUCGAGUGGCGAACGGGUGAGUAACACGUGAGUAACCUGCCCUUGACUUUGGGAUAACUUCAGGAAACUGGGGCUAAUACCGGAUAGGGGCUCCUGCUGCAUGGUGGGGGUUGGAAAGUUUCGGCGGUUGGGGAUGGACUCGCGGCUUAUCAGCUUGUUGGUGGGGUAGUGGCUUACCAAGGCUUUGACGGGUAGCCGGCCUGAGAGGGUGACCGGCCACAUUGGGACUGAGAUACGGCCCAGACUCCUACGGGAGGCAGCAGUGGGGAAUAUUGCACAAUGGGCGGAAGCCUGAUGCAGCAACGCCGCGUGCGGGAUGACGGCCUUCGGGUUGUAAACCGCUUUCGCCUGUGACGAAGCGUGAGUGACGGUAUGGGUAAAGAAGCACCGGCUAACUACGUG
rnacentral:rRNA from 1 species